rnacentral:rRNA from 1 species
AGAGUUUGAUCCUGGCUCAGGAUGAACGCUAGCUACAGGCUUAACACAUGCAAGUCGAGGGGCAGCAUGGUCUUAGCUUGCUAAGGCCGAUGGCGACCGGCGCACGGGUGAGUAACACGUAUCCAACCUGCCGUCUACUCUUGGACAGCCUUCUGAAAGGAAGAUUAAUACAAGAUGGCAUCAUGAGUCCGCAUGUUCACAUGAUUAAAGGUAUUCCGGUAGACGAUGGGGAUGCGUUCCAUUAGAUAGUAGGCGGGGUAACGGCCCACCUAGUCUUCGAUGGAUAGGGGUUCUGAGAGGAAGGUCCCCCACAUUGGAACUGAGACACGGUCCAAACUCCUACGGGAGGCAGCAGUGAGGAAUAUUGGUCAAUGGGCGAGAGCCUGAACCAGCCAAGUAGCGUGAAGGAUGACUGCCCUAUGGGUUGUAAACUUCUUUUAUAAAGGAAUAAAGUCGGGUAUGGAUACCCGUUUGCAUGUACUUUAUGAAUAAGGAUCGGCUAACUCCGUGCCAGCAGCCGCGGUAAUACGGAGGAUCCGAGCGUUAUCCGGAUUUAUUGGGUUUAAAGGGAGCGUAGAUGGAUGUUUAAGUCAGUUGUGAAAGUUUGCGGCUCAACCGUAAAAUUGCAGUUGAUACUGGAUAUCUUGAGUGCAGUUGAGGCAGGCGGAAUUCGUGGUGUAGCGGUGAAAUGCUUAGAUAUCACGAAGAACUCCGAUUGCGAAGGCAGCCUGCUAAGCUGCAACUGACAUUGAGGCUCGAAAGUGUGGGUAUCAAACAGGAUUAGAUACCCUGGUAGUCCACACGGUAAACGAUGAAUACUCGCUGUUUGCGAUAUACUGCAAGCGGCCAAGCGAAAGCGUUAAGUAUUCCACCUGGGGAGUACGCCGGCAACGGUGAAACUCAAAGGAAUUGACGGGGGCCCGCACAAGCGGAGGAACAUGUGGUUUAAUUCGAUGAUACGCGAGGAACCUUACCCGGGCUUAAAUUGCAGAUGAAUUACGGUGAAAGCCGUAAGCCGCAAGGCAUCUGUGAAGGUGCUGCAUGGUUGUCGUCAGCUCGUGCCGUGAGGUGUCGGCUUAAGUGCCAUAACGAGCGCAACCCUUGUUGUCAGUUACUAACAGGUUCUGCUGAGGACUCUGACAAGACUGCCAUCGUAAGAUGUGAGGAAGGUGGGGAUGACGUCAAAUCAGCACGGCCCUUACGUCCGGGGCUACACACGUGUUACAAUGGGGGGUACAGAGGGCCGCUACCACGCGAGUGGAUGCCAAUCCCAAAAACCUCUCUCAGUUCGGACUGGAGUCUGCAACCCGACUCCACGAAGCUGGAUUCGCUAGUAAUCGCGCAUCAGCCACGGCGCGGUGAAUACGUUCCCGGGCCUUGUACACACCGCCCGUCAAGCCAUGGGAGCCGGGGGUACCUGAAGUACGUAACCGCGAGGAGCGCCCUAGGGUAAAACUGGUGACUGGGGCUAAGUCGUAACAAGGUAGCCG